GACUCGGUGGCGGAUGGUCCGCGUCUGCUUAUCGUGGGCAGAAACAAGAAAGCUGCAACGUGGAAGUCGCCUGUUCGAAUCAGGCCCGAGUCA